rnacentral:rRNA from 1 species
CUUGCGCAAUGGACGAAAGUCUGACGCAGCGACGCCGCGUGCGGGAUGAAGGCCCUCGGGUUGUAAACCGCUUUCAGCAGGGACGAAAUUGACGGUACCUGCAGAAGAAGCCCCGGCCAACUACGUGCCAGCAGCCGCGGUAAUACGUAGGGGGCAAGCGUUGUCCGGAUUUAUUGGGCGUAAAGAGCUCGUAGGUGGUUCGGUAAGUCGGAUGUGAAAUCUCCAGGCUCAACCUGGAGGGGUCAUUCGAUACUGCCGUGACUAGAGUUCGGUAGGGGAGUGUGGAAUUCCUGGUGGAGCGGUGAAAUGCGCAGAUAUCAGGAGGAACACCCGUAGCGAAGGCGGCACUCUGGGCCGAUACUGACACUGAGGAGCGAAAGCGUGGGGAGCGAACAGGAUUAGAUACCCUGGUAGUCCACGCCGUAAACGUUGGGCACUAGGUGUGGGACUCUAUCGACGGGUUCCGUGCCGUAGCUAACGCAUUAAGUGCCCCGCCUGGGGAGUACGGCCGCAAGGCUA